AUGGUCCUGCCCAUCAUCACAGGAAACCAUAAACCUCACCACUGUGGGACAGGAGUGACCAACCAUGACCAUUUUUGCUGCCUUAGGAACAUCCCCAUUCCCUCUAUUUUUCAGAUAAGAAACAGAAAGAAUGACUUACUAGGGAACCGAGUUAAAAACGAAAGAAGUGAAGAUUGGUCAUCUCUGCAGAGGAAAUUACAAGAUCCCCACAUUAGUGAUGCUGAAAGCCAGGGCAGAUGGCUUCCAUCCCCCUGCAGUGUGACCAACUGCCCUCUGGGCGAGAUUUGCUGAGUGAAACAACUCUCCUUGAUACAUGUGGGGCUGAUGGAUGCAGCAUUUAUUGUGUUCUUUAACUAGCAAAAGGUUAGUUUGCUGAUUAAGGUAGGGUGUUCGUUUUAAAAGUUUACUUAUUUAUUAAAGCACUGUUUAUAUUAGAAUACAGACUGAUAUCUCAGUUAUUCCCACUUCUUUAGAUCUGCUCUGAAUGGGAAGUGUUAUUGUCUGUCAAACCAGCUGGCAGGGAAUAACAGCCCCCUUGAACUCAGAGGCUGAUGCUGUAGUGGCAGUUCUACUCAUCCCCCUAACCAAUGUCUGUGUGGUACAGUGGGGUGCGUUUAAUUUGGUCUUCAAUUCAGAGCUGGGUUACUGCUCAGUUAGGAGUAUUGCUGAGUAAGACAUAAUUCCUCACAGUCUUGACAAAUUCAUUGCUCAGUCUUUGGGGUUUACCUAUGCAAAACUUGGGAAAUUCACUUAGAGAACCUCAGUUCUUCCCCAUUAGGAUGGAGGAAUAUCUGGAAGCAUGUUAAACAAUCCCUCUAAGCAUCCAUUCUAAGUCAUAGUGAUGCCUUUCCCAAGGUUUGAUAUGGUACAGUCAUGUAGGAGAUGGAAGUACACAAGUACAGUUAUUAAAAAUGAAUGCUGUAUCCUGUUUCCCUUGUGUAUCUUGUCACUGACAUGACUUCACAAGUUGCAAAGCUAUUAAACAUUUCAAACAUGGAACUGGAGCUCAUUAAGCAGAAUGUUGACUGGUAUAUAGCAAACUGUUUCAAAUUCAAGACUGUUAACGUUUGUCUCCAGAGUUUUUUGUCUUCUAGAUUGUCACCAAGCAAUUCAGCUGUCUGGGAAUACAGCCUGUGCUUUCUGUGAUCAGAGUGUGACUGUCCUUUGGGGUGAGGUAGUAGGUUGUAUAGUUUUAGGGCUAUGCCCUGCCUGUCAGAUAACUAUACAAUCUACUG
rnacentral:lncRNA from 1 species